AACAUUAUCAGUGUCUAGAAGCUCCCUGGGAAGUCGUUCCCUGUGUUUCCCUUUUCCCUAACCCCCAGGAGACGUUUGUUUUGAAAAACGGAGUUCCUUUUGUACAUCUGGGUGUGGAAGGGAAGGGCAGUGUUGCCACUGCGGUCUACAUGGUUAGAGACACUGAGCUGAGUCUCUGGGUCAUAGCUGAGCUUCAUUUUUCUUGGAGGUUUACAAAGCUUCUUCUGGGGAAGUUAGUGCUCAAGGUCAUGAAUGAGUUCUGGGAAACAAAAGGUUUACCAUAAUCAGAAAACCUGGAGGUCUGUGUGUGAGUCAUGUGUCAGAUGCCUGGCAGAAAAACGCUAACACAGGGUGCAUGCAUCUCUGUUCUCUGUUUCUGAAUUCUGUGGUUCUGGCCACCACAGCUCUCCAGCAUAGAGGGAAGUAGCCAUCAUAGGGUGAGAAGAGUCUUCAGUGGGUAAUGGCUUCAAGGUGGGAUUUCUGAGUUCACCGUGGCCACCACAGCUCUCCAGCAUAGAGGGGAGUAGCCAUCAUAGGGUGAGAAGAGAGUCUUCAGUGGGUAAAGGCUUCAAGGUGGGAUUGGGCAUUGGUGGGGAAUUGAGUAGGAACUUCAUUCACACAUGGUUAGAACAAGCCAAAGCACAGAGAACAGUCUGGGUCAGGCUCACCUGGGCAUUUUAUAUUCAGGUUGAAAAGGCGGUUACAAAAAGGCAAGGGAGGGGAUGGGGUUGGUGGUGAUAGCGCUCAGCCUGUGUAUCUCAUUAGUCACAUUGCUGAAACUGGAUUAAUCCUCCGUCUCACAGUCCUGAUUCUAGGAUCAUUCUUCACUGUUGUCAUGAUUCCAUUUGCUGCUUCUCUGCGCUGGACCGCCUGCUUCCUGAAUCCCGCAUUUCCCUCAUUUUAGAUUACUUUCUUGUUUUGGUGGAACACAGCCUCCGGUAUUUUUUGAGAUAAAGCCGCGUGGGAGAUGCCUUUUUUGAAAUCUUUAUAUAUCUAAAAAAUGAUUAUCCUAUUCUCAUUCUUAGAUUGAGGGAUUGAGGAUUCUUGAUUGGAAAUAAUGUUUGUCGGUAACAUGAAAGUGUUGCUCCAUUGCCUUCUCACUUCCAGUGUUGCUGUUGAGAAGUUAGAAGCCACUUGGUUUCUUAAUUGUUUUGAUGUGUUCUUGCGGUUUUUCUUAGGCUAUUUGUAAGAACUACUUUUUAAAAUAAUAUUAUUUCCCUCUGGCUGUGCCGGAUCUUCACUGCUGUGCAGCCCUCUCUCUAGUUUCUGUGUGUGUUUCUCACUGUAUGGCUUCUCCUGUGGAGCAUGGGCUCUAUGGGCGUCAGCAGUUGCAGUUCAUGGAAAGAGUAGUGGUGUUUCUCGGGCUCUAGAGCACAGGCUUAGACUUGUGGCGCACUGGCAUGCGCAGAGUGGUUGCUCUGCGGCAUGUGAAAUCUUCUGGGCCCAGGCAUCGAACCCAGAAUCUGGCAGGCAAGUUCUUUACUACUGAGCCCCCAGUGAUGCCCCGUAAGAACU
ensembl:lncRNA